rnacentral:lncRNA from 1 species
AUUGUUGUGAAGGUAUUUAUUCUUUCUUAUUUUUCUUGAAAGCUUAGAGUUACUAAUUGUUUUGUCAUCAAAUUUUCUGAUUAUAAAUAUCAAGGAGUCCCACCGUACACUACAGUUUCGUGGCAUGGAUUGUAUUUUCCUUGUAAUUCGAAGCUUGUAAAUCACAAGGGCGUCAAAGGCCAUGAGCUCUAUGAACACCUUCGGACGACCACCAGAUUUGGUUGCUACCAUUGCUUUCAAAAUAAAAGCGCCUGUCUGUUGCAGAAGAAACCAUCACUGCUUAAUAGGAAAGUAGUACUUCUGUUAUGGUUGAGUUUAAAAUGUGCUUUUUAGAGGCAUCAUCUCUCAGAGACCAACUCAUGCAUGUGUUCAGAGAGGGUCUUAAUUGGUGCAUGAUUUACUACAUGAAGCAAAACUUUGCUUGGACAGGCUGAAAGACUAUGGUGAGGAAGAGCCCUUUAUACAGUUUUAUAGGCCUGUCUUCUCACUGGGAACAUAUAUUUACUAAUUGUAUAAUUGGUGGCACAGUUCUUCCAUCAUAAACAUUGUUAUCAGUUAAUUAAACUUGAAAUGCAGCUUUGUUCCACAACAUGUUUUGUCAGAUUGUUUUCCUUAUUUAUUUAUCAUCAUAAAAUUUUACUUGGUGACUGGCAGCUUCUCAGCCCUCCAAUAAUAAUAUAAAUCAAAACAUAAGAUUUUAGUCUUCAUGCAAUUUCCUUUUGGUCUGAAAAUAUGAAACCAGAUGUUUUUGGCAU